rnacentral:rRNA from 1 species
AGCGGAGGAAAAGAAACUAACAAGGAUUCCCCUAGUAACUGCGAGUGAAGCGGGAAAAGCUCAAAUUUAAAAUCCUUCGGGAAUUGUAAUCUAGAGAAGUGUUUUCGGUCGUUGCCUCGGACAAGUCCCUUGGAACAGGGCGUCAUAGAGGGUGAGAAUCCCGUCCUUGCCGAGCUCCCAACGUCUAUGUGAUGCACUCUCGAAGAGUCGAGUUGUUUGGGAAUGCAGCUCAAAACGGGUGGUAAACUCCAUCUAAAGCUAAAUAUUGGCGAGAGACCGAUAGCGAACAAGUACCGUGAGGGAAAGAUGAAAAGCACUUUGGACAGAGAGUUAAACAGUACGUGAAAUUGUUGAAAGGGAAACGCUUGAAGUCAGUCGCGUUGCAGGGACUCAGCCGCGAGGUGCAUUUCUCUGCAACGGGUCAACAUCAGUUUCGAGCGCGGGAAAAGGGCUUGAGGAAUGUGGCAACCUCGGUUGUGUUAUAGCCUCCUGUCGUACACCGCGCCCGGGACUGAGGACCGCUGAUAGGAUGUUGACGUAAUGGCUUUAAGCGACCCGUCUUGA